rnacentral:lncRNA from 12 species
CCAGUCUUUUUAGGAGUGUUCUGGUUAAGCAUCUUUUUUCCACUUACCAUUUUUUUUUUUUCAGAUUGUCAGACUGAUGCAAACAACUAUGGGUAAUCUAUUUGAGGCUUGUCUUCCUAUAAUCCCUGAGAAAGUGAUUUCAUACAUUUUUUGUUAUAAAAUAGCUCCUUCCAUUUUAUGGGUGCAUCCAAGAACCGGAUAUCUUUUCGUGGCCUAUGUAUAAAAUUGUGCAUCAAGGAAUUGAUAACAUUCAAGAUUAUAUAACAUCACAAUAUGUCACAAUAACCUUAUUAUCUUUGGACAUAGAUUGCAUUUGUUUUCUAGAGUCUGCAGACGUUUACCAAUGACCUACUAGUACUGAACACUUAUCAUGCUUGGGGGUGGGACAAUAUCCCUGUAUGGAAGGAAUUCUUAAUUUAGUAGGAAAAAAAUAGUGAACAGGAAAACAAAAGAAAAUUUGCUAAGUUCUAUGGCAGAGGUGUAGGAAGGGGAGUCUUCAAAGGUGAGAAAAGGCAUAUGCAGGUAUACUGUGCGAUCUAAGGUUUGUGGUGAGAGCAUGGUACCUGCGGGGAGCAACGUCUGUUGAUUUUAUGAACAAUACCAUAUAGUAAAUUUUAUCAGCAGAAGUUUCAGGUCUGUGUUUGUUGUUGUUUUUAAGCAGGCUCCACACUCAACGUACGACUUGAAUCACAACCCAGAGAUCAAGAGUCACAUGCUCUGCCAGUGGAGCCAGCCAGGCAUCCUUCAGGGAAGGACAAACGGAGGCCAGGUUGCCCGCCUCCCGCCAGCGAAGGAGGCUUCCCGGGCCGCGCCCCUCGGCGGUCGGAGUGGGGGGCAGCCGGGGCCCAGGGGCGCACCGAGGAAUCGGGCUGCUCUCCGCAUCAGCGUAAGGCUUCAGCGACGGGAAUUUCCGGAUGCUCGGCACACCUGGCUCAGAAUCCGCAAGCAGCGCAUUCCAAAGUGAAAUUUUCAAGGGCCAUUUUCCUCCCCUUUGGCCUUGGCGGCCUUCACAGCUUCCGGGGAGGGGGCGGUUCUGCAGGUGACUCAACCGGGAAACCGAGAGUUAGCAGAGGGCAUCCCUCUUUUUUUUUUUUUUUUUUUUCCGGAUUGUGUUCCAGGCCUUUCAGGCCUUCGGAGGUGGCCUGACAAACUCAGCAACACGAAUUCUGUGAUUUCUCACCUGUCGGGGACCGGCCGGAGCCUCCCUUUGCAAGCACACGGUGCCCCUCUCCUAUCGGGUGGGCUCUAAGAUUAGGGCCCCGGAUUCCCCUUUCCUCUGUCACCUGCACUCUGCAAAACCUACCUGGCGGGGAGAUGGGGGGGCGGGGAGUAUUUUUCUUAAGAGAUGACGUUAUAGGGUAUUAGGCUUAGAAGUGGAAGGGAGGUGGGGGGGGGGUUGGGGGGACUGGGUGAGGAGCACUGGGUGUUAUGCUAAAUAUUGGCAAAUUGAACUCCCAUAAAAAAAAAAGUUAAAAAAAAAGCAAAAAAAAAAAAAAGUGGCAGAGACUUGUUUUCACAGUGGCGUGCAGCAAUUACAAUUACGGGACAAACGCUGGAUCCUUGGCUACGCUUUGCAGGGAAAGGAAAGACCUCCCUGCGGGGAGGAGGCAGCAGGAAGCAAUGGGCUUUGGCUCCAGGAGACUCUGGAAUCCUCAGUGACAUUUGUUCAAAUGCCCACCUAUAGUUUAAAAAAGAGAAAAGAAAGAAAAAAACCUCGGAGAAACCCUGAGGAUGAGGUUCCCCAGCCCAGAGCAGCGCUCAACGUACAUUAGGAUUUGAACUAGCGGCUGCUGCUUUCAGCGCCCCGGGGGCUCGACCUCGCCGCCCCAGGUCAGCACCUCCGAAGCCGACCUUAUUUAUUUAUAAGAUUUUGUUUAUUUAUGAGAGUCACAGGCGGAGGCAGAAGCGCGCCCGACGCGGGGCGCCCGACGCGGGGCUCGAUCCCGCGGCCCCAGGGUCGCGCC